rnacentral:rRNA from 1 species
UACCUGCAGCUCAAGUGGUGACCGCUAUUAUUGGGCCUACAACGUUCGUAGCCGGCUGAAUAAAUGCUUGGGUAAAUUGUGUUGCUUAACAAUACGAAUUCCGGGUAGACUAUUCAGCUUGAGACCGGGAGAAGCUAGAGGUACUCCUGGGGUAGAGGUGAAAUUCUGUAAUCCUAGGGGGACCACCAGUGGCGAAGGCGUCUAGCUAGAACGGGUCUGACGGUGAGGAACGAAACCCUGGGGCGCAAACCGGAUUAGAUACCCGGGUAGUCCAGGGCGCAAACGCUGCUUGCUUGAUGUUAGCUGGGCUCCGAGCUCAGCUAGUGUCGGAGAGAAGUUGUUAAGCAAGCUGCCUGGGAAGUACGAUCGCAAGGUUGAAAACUUAAAGGAAUUGGCGGGGGAGCACAGCAACGGGUGGGGCGUGCGGUUU